UAUACACAUGACUGUAAGUCACUUUGGCUAAAAGUGUCUUCUAAAUAGCAUAUA
rfam:Salmo salar isolate Sally breed double haploid chromosome ssa04, whole genome shotgun sequence.